UAGGGAAUAUUGGGCAAUGGAUGCAAGUCUGACCCAGCCAUGCCGCGUGCCGGAUGAAGGCCCUCAGGGUUGUAAACGGCUUUUAUUCGGGAAGAAGAGCUGGGAUGCGUCCUAGUGUGACGGUACCGAAUGAAUAAGCACCGGCUAACUCCGUGCCAGCAGCCGCGGUAAUACGGAGGGUGCGAGCGUUGUCCGGAUUUAUUGGGUUUAAAAGGGUGCGUAGGUGGCUUACUAAGUCAGUGGUGAAAUACAGCCGCUCAACGGUUGAGGUGCCAUUGAUACUGUUAAGCUUGAAAGAAUUGGAGGCUGCCGGAAUGGAUGGUGUAGCGGUGAAAUGCAUAGAUAUCAUCCAGAACACCGAUUGCGAAGGCAGGUGGCUACGAUUUAUUUGACACUGAGGCACGAAAGCAUGGGGAGCAAACAGGAUUAGAUACCCUGGUAGUCCAUGCCGUAAAACGAUGAGGACUCGCUGUUGGCCUGUCACGGGUCAGCGGCUUAGGGAAACCGUUAAGUCCUCCACCUGGGGAGUACGCCGGCAACGGUGAAACUCAAAUGAAUUGACGGGGUCAUAGCUGUUUCCU
rnacentral:rRNA from 1 species